UAAUUAAAAUGUUUUAUUAGCCAAUUAUACAUAUCUAACAAAUGUAAACAUGUUGGACACGUGAUAGUCUCACCUGACUGUAAACCAGAAUAAUCGUGCUGGGCUUGAGAGGGCAAUACACACAGCAGGAGCACAGAGCUGAGGGACACAGCCCACACCUGACAUCAGCACAGACACAAACACCAUCAAACACACGCAAAGGAACUUAUUACAGUACGUCAUGGUGGAAACUCUACAUCUGUCAGCUACCCACCCUGCAUCUUACCUUCACCCUGGAGGCUUCCAUGGCCAGCAGCCUCCUGCUCAGGUUUCCAGGCGCUGUCCGAACACACAGCUCUAAGCCCUUGAAUCAGCACAAGCAGGGAGUCUAUGAGAACACAAUGAGGGGCUGCAGUGGUCCUCAAAGCAUUCUCCCUCCUUGUAUGCGAUGCUGGUCCCCCUGUGCUGAGACAGAUGAACAGACCCUCACCAGAAUCUCCCAGGGUCCCACCUCUCCUCAGCUGGGUGAGAAAUACCUGAGCCUUCACCAAACAAACACACUGCUCCACUGGACUGAGAGUGAUGAAGAAUAAAGGAACUGCAAAAAUAAUAUUCCUAUCAAAUAUAAGUCACUGUUCUUUACUCAAUGCAAUGUUUUUUUAUUGCAAAAUAUUUCAUUAUAUAAUUUUUUUCUGUAGUAUACAUGGCUCACUACUACAAUUAGUAAAGGAAAACCUGAUUUGCAAGCUUUGUGAAAUUUAAUGACCUUUUAACCUCCUUGGAAAAAUGUGCCAUUAAUGUAACAGAUUUCUCAAAAUCCAUUUCAGGUGGUUCUUCUCUCUCUUAGCAAUAGAAGGUAGGGCUGGACAAAUCCAAUGAACUGCUAGAGUUUGAAUACAAGUUUAUUAAAAGUUUAAUUGAUCAUGUUAA